UAAGAAUAUUCCGCAAUGGACGAAAGUCUGACGGAGCGACGCCGCGUGGAUGAAGAAGGCCGAAAGGUUGUAAAAUUCUUUUGUCGGGGAAGAAUAAGCUCAGGAGGGAAUGCCUGAGUGAUGACAUGAACCGGCGAAUAAGCCCCGGCUAACUACGUGCCAGCAGCCGCGGUAACACGUAGGGGGCGAGCGUUGUUCGGAAUUACUGGGCGUAAAGGGCAUGUAGGCGGUUUUGUAAGCCUGGCGUGAAAUUCUACAGCUCAACUGUAGGGCUGCGCUGGGAACUGCGAGACUGGAGUCACGGAGAGGGAGCUAGAAUUCCAGGUGUAGGGGUGAAAUCUGUAGAUAUCUGGAAGAAUACCAGUGGCGAAGGCGAGCUUCUGGCCGAUGACUGACGCUGAGGUGCGAAAGCGUGGGUAGCAAAC
rnacentral:rRNA from 1 species